rnacentral:tRNA from 1 species
AAAAUUUUAGUUUAAGGAAAGUAUUUUUUUUACAAAAAAAAGUUAAUAAUAAUUUAUAAUAUUAAAUUUUA